GCUGGGGAACGUCCUGACGUACGUUCUUUAACAGCGUUGGCCUCGGACUUAAUGCAUGUGGAAAUCAAGAAUUUGGUUGUGACAGAUUUAAUCAGUACAACUGUGGACAAAUGGCUAUACAUCAUAGAUAAGGCCAAAGAAAUAUCUAACUUAUAGAGGCAGAAAGAGAAGAAUGAUUUUCAAAUAACAUUGAGCAUUUUUGUUUUGUGUUGCAUGUGAUGGAAGGAGCUAAGACUGCUGAAAAACACAUCUGAAAAUGAUCAUAUCAUUACUGACCCACAGACAAGACUUCAAGCCUUUAUUUGGGCAGAUCAACAUUUUGGAAAUUAUUUUGACAGUGCAGACAUGGGGUACAUAGAUUUUUGGUUUUGAUAGAUUUAAUCAGUCCAACUGGUACUGGGAUGAAGUGAAGGCCAUUUUCAUUAAAGAGUUAAUUGACAGAAUUAACUCCGGAGAAGCUCAAUGAAGCACACAAAACUCUUGGCAAAGUGAUCCUGAAAAACUUUUCUACUACAAAUAAUGUCUUGAUUCAUAUUUUGGGUUUCAUUCUGUCUGAUUAAUCUCUCUCAAGGCAAAAUCCAUCAAUCUAACUGAGUACACAUACAUUAUGUCUGUUUUCUCGUCCCUCCUUGUCUCUCUACAGUAGUUUGUUCCUGCUCUUGACAGUAUGCCCAAAUGUGGCCUCAAAAAAUCUGUGGCAGGUGACUGAGUUGAGUCUGCUCUGAAACUUGUGGAUCAUCUUUUAUAACUGCUGUUAAUACUGGAUUCAGAUUCUAUUAUUUUCUGUAUUUCUAAGCAAAUGUAACAACAUAAAAUAAUAAGUUUCUUGUGCAUUUUACACAUAUCUUUUGUUAUUGACAAGGCUUUAUUUGUGUUUCAUAACCAUAAGAUACGGUAGGUCUAAUUUCUUUGUAUUUAAAUUAAGUGUUAAAUAGAUGUUUAAAAGAUAUGAUAUAUGGAAUAAAAUACUCAAAAUAUUGAGUAAAAAUAAAUCUAGUGACACCUCAUAUUUUGAAUGACUAAAGAAACAUGUUGAAAACAACACUGCCAAAAUGAAGAUAUUUUGCUGCCUCACAAAGCAAUUAGUAUUUAUACAUUCUGAAACAUUUAUCCAAAGACAAGAUUCAUAAAAAAAAUGUGUUGAGCCAUUCGGAAUAUGAGGUGUAAACAGAAUAAAUUACUUUUAAUGAAUUCUAGUCUAAUACAAAGCCAUGCACAGAUGGUGGCAUAAGUCUGGUUAACAUCUGCUUGUGUGUCUGCUAAGUCUUUGAAAAGGAAAGCAGCAUGCAUCAAUUUCACUGCCAUUGGUUGCACAUGAGCAUGCAUUAAAUCUUUCAUUUAAACUGGCUUUCAAAGGAGCUACAUUUUUUUGCUGAUGGAAGAUUCAGUGAUUUCCUGA